rnacentral:rRNA from 1 species
GAUGAACGCUGGCGGCGUGCCUAAUACAUGCAAGUCGAGCGAACGGACGAGAAGCUUGCUUCUCUGAUGUUAGCGGCGGACGGGUGAGUAACACGUGGAUAACCUACCUAUAAGACUGGGAUAACUUCGGGAAACCGGAGCUAAUACCGGAUAAUAUUUUGAACCGCAUGGUUCAAAAGUGAAAGACGGUCUUGCUGUCACUUAUAGAUGGAUCCGCGCUGCAUUAGCUAGUUGGUAAGGUAACGGCUUACCAAGGCAACGAUGCACAGCCGACCUGAGAGGGUGAUCGGCCACACUGGAACUGAGACACGGUCCAGACUCCUACGGGAGGCAGCAGUAGGGAAUCUUCCGCAAUGGGCGAAAGCCUGACGGAGCAACGCCGCGUGAGUGAUGAAGGUCUUCGGAUCGUAAAACUCUGUUAUUAGGGAAGAACAUAUGUGUAAGUAACUGUGCACAUCUUGACGGUACCUAAUCAGAAAGCCACGGCUAACUACGUGCCAGCAGCCGCGGUAAUACGUAGGUGGCAAGCGUUAUCCGGAAUUAUUGGGCGUAAAGCGCGCGUAGGCGGUUUUUUAAGUCUGAUGUGAAAGCCCACGGCUCAACCGUGGAGGGUCAUUGGAAACUGGAAAACUUGAGUGCAGAAGAGGAAAGUGGAAUUCCAUGUGUAGCGGUGAAAUGCGCAGAGAUAUGGAGGAACACCAGUGGCGAAGGCGACUUUCUGGUCUGUAACUGACGCUGAUGUGCGAAAGCGUGGGGAUCAAACAGGAUUAGAUACCCUGGUAGUCCACGCCGUGAACGAUGAGUGCUAAGUGUUAGGGGGUUUCCGCCCCUUAGUGCUGCAGCUAACGCAUUAAGCACUCCGCCUGGGGAGUACGACCGCAAGGUUGAAACUCAAAGGAAUUGACGGGGACCCGCACAAGCGGUGGAGCAUGUGGUUUAAUUCGAAGCAACGCGAAGAACCUUACCAAAUCUUGACAUCCUUUGACAACUCUAGAGAUAGAGCUUUCCCCUUCGGGGGACAAAGUGACAGGUGGUGCAUGGUUGUCGUCAGCUCGUGUCGUGAGAUGUUGGGUUAAGUCCCGCAACGAGCGCAACCCUUAAGCUUAGUUGCCAUCAUUAAGUUGGGCACUCUAAGUUGACUGCCGGUGACAAACCGGAGGAAGGUGGGGAUGACGUCAAAUCAUCAUGCCCCUUAUGAUUUGGGCUACACACGUGCUACAAUGGACAAUACAAUGGGCAGCGAAACCGCGAGGUCAAGCAAAUCCCAUAAAGUUGUUCUCAGUUCGGAUUGUAGUCUGCAACUCGACUACAUGAAGCUGGAAUCGCUAGUAAUCGUAGAUCAGCAUGCUACGGUGAAUACGUUCCCGGGUCU